AUUGGACGCUGGCGGCAGGCUUAACACAUGCAAGUCGAGCGGGGUGAUGGUGCUUGCACUAUCACUUAGCGGCGGACGGGUGAGUAAUGCUUAGGAAUCUGCCUAUUAGUGGGGGACAACAUCUCGAAAGGGAUGCUAAUACCGCAUACGUCCUACGGGAGAAAGCAGGGGAUCACUUGUGACCUUGCGCUAAUAGAUGAGCCUAAGUCGGAUUAGCUAGUUGGUGGGGUAAAGGCCUACCAAGGCGACGAUCUGUAGCGGGUCUGAGAGGAUGAUCCGCCACACUGGGACUGAGACACGGCCGAGACUCCUACGGGAGGCAGCAGUGGGGAAUAUUGGACAAUGGGGGGAACCCUGAUCCAGCCAUGCCGCGUGUGUGAAGAAGGCCUUAUGGUUGUAAAGCACUUUAAGCGAGGAGGAGGCUCUUUUGGUUAAUACCCAAGAUGAGUGGACGUUACUCGCAGAAUAAGCACCGGCUAACUCUGUGCCAGCCGCCGCGGUAA
rnacentral:rRNA from 1 species